AACAGUGUGAUAACUGUGGGAUUUCUUCAGCUGAUAUAUACCACUGCAGCGACUGUUCUCCCAGAACAUUUCUUUGCCUUGAGUGCAUCAGGAAAGCUCACUUGUUUCAGUAUUUUCACAUGAUGUAUAUUUGGAGGAUUAACGCAUGGGUACCCUUCUCUCCUGAUGAUGUGAUCAUAGAUUCCUUCGUACAUCCGCAUUGCAGUCACACCUACCUACUUCCGAGAAUAUAAUAGUUGUUGAUGCCAAAGGCAGACAUCAUAAAGCCAAAUGUCAAUUCUGUCCCUGUGAGGAAGAGGCAACAACCCUGAUAAGGCACCACUUUUGGCCGUCAUCACCUAAGAAACCAAAGAUGUGCUUCGACUUCCAUAUCAUGGAAAUGCUGCGGGUGUUGUACCUUCAGGUUCCUGUACCUGUGAUGGAUUUUUGCGAAGCACUGAAGCUAAUCUAUCACCCUUUUGUUGUUACAGAUAACCCAAUUCUUCAAGAUGUGUACAAGGUGC